GAUGAAGAACGCAGCGAAAUGCGAUACGUAAUGUGAAUUGCAGAAUUCAGUGAAUCAUCGAAUCUUUGAACGCAUAUUGCGCUCUUUGGUAUUCCGAAGAGCAUGCUUGUUUGAGUAUCAGUAAACACCUCAACCUCUUCUUGAUUUUUCAAAAGGAGGGUGGACUUGAGCUAUCCCAACAACCUUUACCGGUCGGCGGGCGGCUUGAAAUGCAGGUGCAGCUGGACUUUUAUCUGAGCUAAAAGCAUAUCUAUUUAGUCCUCGUCAAACAGGAUUAUUACUUUUGCUGCAGCUAACAUAAAGGAUAAUUGUCCUCUUUGCUGACUGAUGCAGGAUUUUACGACACUUUAUGUGUUGUUCAACUCGAUCUCAAAUCAAGUAAGACUACCCGCUGAACUUAAGCAUAUCAAAAGCGGAGGA
rnacentral:misc_RNA from 1 species